rnacentral:rRNA from 1 species
GACGUAGGGCGCGAGCGUUGUCCGGAUUUAUUGGGCGUAAAGAGCUCGUAGGCGGCUUGUCGCGUCGACUGUGAAAUCCCGCGGCUCAACUGCGGGUCUGCAGUCGAUACGGGCAGGCUAGAGUUCGGUAGGGGAGACUGGAAUUCCUGGUGUAGCGGUGAAAUGCGCAGAUAUCAGGAGGAACACUGGUGGCGAAGGCGGGUCUCUGGGCCGUAACUGACGCUGAGGAGCGAAAGCAUGGGGAGCGAACAGG